rnacentral:lncRNA from 1 species
GAAAGAAGUUUAGCCUGCCCUUCAUGCUCACUGUGCUUUAUUGACACUGCGAAGAGGAUGCUGACAGCCUGAAGCUCUGUUUCUUCCUGAGAACUGAAGCUACUUCAUCUCAAGAGAGACAGAGGAAAACUUCAGUGAUCUGCCAAGUCACCAGAAAGACCAAGGAGUUGCCCAGGAUCUCCCAGAAUCAAGAGGAAGCUAAAGGAACUGUGUCAUCUCAUAGCCAAACAUUUGUUGGUCUCUCUCAUUCCGCCAUCAUCGAGUCAAUACCUACGACGCGGCAGGAACACCAUCAGGUGCUGGGGACUGCGGGUGUCAGACAGGGCCGCUUAACCAUGAGCGACUUUGUCUGCUAAGUAUAUUUAGCAAUGGCCGGAGACAUUUUGGUUGUCACAACUGGGGAGGGGGCUACUGACAUCCGAUGGAUAGAGGCCACGGAUGCUAAACCCCUUACAAUGCAAAGGACAACCGUGCACAGAAUAAAUUAGCCCACGAUGUCAAUAAAGCAAGG